rnacentral:misc_RNA from 1 species
CACAGUGCUGGGCUUGCCUAGCGCACAGCCAAGAGGCCACACGAAACUACAUAGGGGGUGAGGGAUGACGCGCUGCGGCGACGGCGUUUUCUCCUCCCUCUCCUUGCUGUUAUGUGGAUGCGAAUGUGUGUAUAAUGAUGUCAUUGUACGCUGUAGCACGCACUUUCUUGCCGCUGCCAUUUUGCCAUCUCCAUGUUGGCGGCAAUUCUCCGUCAGCCUGUCAUAUUCUCUAUCUGUUUGCGAGCGUAUUACACGCAAGGGGUGGCGGGCAAAAAUGUCGCUGCGGUUGCCAGCCUGACAGUGAUGGCACGCCGCCCCCGCCCUUCGUGCGUAUCGCCGGUGCCCUUUUUUUUUCGGCUUCGCUUUGGCUUCACUCCUUUGUUUUUCCUCCCUCUCUGCGUGUCCCCGAUGAUGGUCGGCCACCUCACCGUGAUAGCAUGGGGCCGUGCCCACUCUUUCUGGAGAGGCCAGGAGCCUGCAGCCGGCCCGCGGGCGCUGUUUCGGACUCGUGGUGUCGGCGGAGAAGUCUGGGCUGGCGGUGUGCCGGAGAGACUCACGGUCAUGAUCAUGCUUGAGCAAACCAACUACCCAUCGCGCCGAGGAUUCAACGACCAUUGGCACACACACGCUCCCGUCAAAGGCGUUCGGGUUCGGGAGAAGGCGGAGCGCCCCUGCAGUCGCAGACGGAUGGCAGCGUCCCGCCUAUCGUGGCACACGCGAAAAAGCCGUCCUGGAGCAGGCCCCACGAUGCGAGAACGCGAGCACUGCGCGCACGCUGCCAGCGGUGGCUGGCAUGGUGGAACGCAUCCAGGCAAGACAUCAGAUGUCAGAGUAGCGCAAGUGACAGAAGGUAAAGGCUCAGAGACGUGCGUAUGGAUCAGCCCCAAAGUGCGUGUUUGCGAGGCAUGCGGCACCUCCUCCAUCCAACCGGGUGGGGCCGAUGAUGUACAGAUGCCGAAAGCAUCACGAGAGCACCCCAAAUGGCACCAUGGAGUCGGCCAGAGUCGCGUGUGGAGAUUAUUCGCACCAUAUUACGGCAUGCGGCGGCUUGAGGCAACCGAGGGAGGGGCAUGGCGUGCAGGCGGAGGACAGGGUCUGAGAGGGCCCUGGCCUGCGGCUGGCCCACCUCCUCUCGGUGCUCAUGCGGCACGCACCUACACCAGCCCCUGCGGCCUGCACGGCAGACGCCGCCGCCUCCGCCCUCGAGCAGGACCCUGCACCGGGGUCCGUGUGGCGCCGGUCGCGCUGCACGCGUGCGAGGGCGAUACGCGGAGGGACAAGGCGAGCCCGCUAGCAGCAUGGCCCGACUCGACGGCUGAACGGCUCGUCGUGGACGGCGCGGAUGUGGCCGCCGUGCGGCAGGGGUGGGUGGGCUGCGGCUGUAUGCGUGCACGUGUGGACUCGGUCGUGAUGGGACGGCACGUCGCAGAAAAGAAUAGCUCCCCGCUUAAAUGCAUAUUUAUGUGUGGCAGUGCUGUGCAGCUUUUCGCGCUGCCUUACCUCGUUCGAAACACUGAUAUGGAUGAUUUUGUCGGAGAGACAGACAGCGACAAGUGUGUUAGCAGCGCAAACGCCGUCGCUAUGUUCUCGUGACACCCCGAAUGACCAGCUGUUUUCCAGUUGCCUGCUGACCGACUCCUUCAUUCUCCCCAUCUGUGCUCUCUCGCUUCUCGCUUCCCGUGGUCGCUAAAAGAGCUUUCCACUCACGCUGAUUGUGCAUGUGAGGGAGAGAGGCAUCUCGACUGUGGAUAUGUAUGUACUUCCUCCAAUCGCAGAGAUUC